GAAAGGACGCUCAGCCUGACCUUCCCGGGGCUGUCCGUGCCAGCGGCUCCGCGUGAGGGAGGGGCCCGCUCCUGCUUGGUGAGAGAGUCAGCACGCGGUGGCCUGCAGGUUAUAGAGUGGAAAGUCCCACAAUCUUUUUCUUCUCUAUUUUCAAAAAACGUUGACCUCUUGGCGAGAAUGCAAAGAAGGGAACGCUUGCUUAUACGCUGUUGUGAACUGUCACCCCUACAACUCAGCUUGCAACCAGCCCUGGCCACCAGUUUCCCCACACUGAGCUGAAUAUCGGACAUGCCCAUCUCAGACAUUCCAGCCCAUUCUGAAAUUCCACAUCGAUUCACCUGACAAAGUCUGAAGUUCCAGGGCAAUUUAUCUGGAAAAGCUUACCUGGAAUCACGUGUCAUUUCAACCAACAACUGUUGAAGAGGACGUGGCAUUAAAACCAAGGGUAUCAAUUAUUUAUAAGGGCUG
rnacentral:lncRNA from 1 species